rnacentral:rRNA from 1 species
AUAACGACUCUCGGCAACGGAUAUCUCGGCUCUCGCAUCGAUGAAGAACGCAGCGAAAUGCGAUACCUGGUGUGAAUUGCAGAAUCCCGUGAAUCAUUGAGUCUUUGAACGCAAGUUGCGCCCGAGGCCAUUUGGUCUAGGGCACGCCUGCCUGGGUGUCACA